GACGAACGCUGGCGGCGCGCCUAACACAUGCAAGUCGAACGAGCGAGAGAGAGCUUGCUUUCUCAAGCGAGUGGCGAACGGGUGAGUAACGCGUGAGGAACCUGCCUCAAAGAGGGGGACAACAGUUGGAAACGACUGCUAAUACCGCAUAAGCCCACGGCCCGGCAUCGGGCUGAGGGAAAAGGAGCAAUUCGCUUUGGGAAGGACUCGCGUCCGAUUAGCUAGAUGGUGAGGUAACGGCCCACCAUGGCGACGAUCGGUAGCCGGACUGAGAGGUUGAUCGGCCACAUUGGGACUGAGACACGGCCCAG
rnacentral:rRNA from 1 species